rnacentral:pre_miRNA from 1 species
AUUAUUAAGGGCCUGAUCCCAAGCCCAUUCAAGUCAAUAAGAGUCUUUCCAUUAACUUCCAUGGGCUUGGGAUCAGGCUCUAUGAAU